rnacentral:rRNA from 1 species
CUGGCUCAGGACGAACGCUGGCGGCGUGCCUAAUACAUGCAAGUCGAGCGGACAGAUGGGAGCUUGCUCCCUGAUGUUAGCGGCGGACGGGUG